rnacentral:rRNA from 1 species
CACGCUGUAAACAAUGGAUACUUGUUGUUGGAGGUAUUGACCCCUUCAGUGACGUAGCUAACGCGUUAAGUAUCCCGCCUGGGGAGUACGGUCGCAAGAUUAAAACUCAAAGAAAUUGACGGGGGCCCGCACAAGCGGUGGAGCAUGUGGUUUAAUUCGAUGCAACGCGAAGAACCUUACCUAGGCUUGACAUGAAUUGGAAGAGUGGCAGAAAUGUCCUCGCCCGCAAGGGUCGGUUCACAGGUGC